rnacentral:ncRNA from 1 species
GAGGGUACAUCUUUCAAACGGUAACGCAGGUGUCCUAAGGCAAGCUCAGCGAGGGCAGAAACUUCGCGUAGAGCAAAAGGGCAAAAGCUUGCUGGAUUUUGAUUUUCCGUACGAAUACAGACUGUGAAAGCGUGGCCUGUUGAUCCUUUUGACUUUAAGAGUUUUAAGCAAGAG